rnacentral:snRNA from 1 species
GUGCUCGCUUCAGCAGCACAUAUACUAAAAUUGGAAUGAUAUAGAGAUGAUUAGCAUGGCCUCUGCACAAGCAUGACAUGCAACUUCUUGAAGCAUUCCAUAUUUUU